rnacentral:rRNA from 1 species
GACGAACGCUGGCGGCGUGCUUAACACAUGCAAGUCGAACGGAAAGGCCCUGCUUUUGUGGGGUGCUCGAGUGGCGAACGGGUGAGUAAAACGUGAGUAAACUGCCCUUGAAUUUGGGAUAACUUCAGGAAACUGGGGCUCAUACCGGAUAGGAGCUCCUGAUGCACGGUGUGGGUUGGAAAGUUUCGGCGGUGGGGGAUGGACUCGCGGCUUAUCAGCUUGUUGGUGGGGUAGUGGCUUACCAAGGCUUUGACGGGUAGCCGGCCUGAGAGGGUGACCGGCCACAUUGGGACUGAGAUACGGCCCAGACUCCUACGGGAGGCAGCAGUGGGGAAUAUUGCACAAUGGGCGGAAGCCUGAUGCAGCAACGCCGCGUGCGGGAUGACGGCCUUCGGGUUGUAAACCGCUUUCGCCUGUGACGAAGCGUGAGUGACGGUAAUGGGUAAAGAAGCACCGGCUAACUACGUG